AGUGAACGCUGGCGGUGUGCCUAAUACAUGCAAGUCGAACGGCAGCACAGUAAGAUCUCUCUUCUACGGUUGGCGACUGGCGGACGGGUAAGAAAUACAUCGCAUUCUUCUUAUUCUGGGAGGAUUACGUGAGGCAACUGACGCUAAUAGCUCAUACUACGUACCGGUUAAAUCAAGAGUUAAUCACACCCUUCCCGUCACUAUUAGCCGAUUUCGGGCUGGAUUAGCUAGUUGGUAAGGUAACGGCUUACCAAGGCGACGAUGCAUAGCCGACCUGAGAGGGUGAUCAGCCACACUGGAACUGAGACACGGUCCAGACUCCUACGGGAGGCAGCAGUAGGGAAUCUUGGACAAUGGGCGCAAGCCUGACCCAGCAAUACCGCGUGAGUGAAGAAGGUCUUCGGAUUGUAAAGCCCUGUUAUUAGGGAAGAAAAGAAGCAGAUUUAUCCGCCGAUGUUCUGACGGUACCUAAAGAAAAAGCAACGGCUAACUUCGUG
rnacentral:rRNA from 1 species